UACGUAGGGUGCGAGCGUUAAUCGGAUUUACUGGGCGUAAAGCGUGCGUAGGCGGUUUGUUAAGUCGGUUGUGAAAGCCCUGGGCUCAACCUGGGAAUUGCAGUCGAUACUGGCAGGCUAGAGAACGGUAGAGGGAGGCGGAACUCCAGGUGUAGCGGUGAAAUGCGUAGAUAUCUGGAAGAACACCGAUGGCGAAGGCAACCUCCUGGGCCUGUUCUGACGCUGAGGCACGAAAGCGCGGGUAGCAAACAGG
rnacentral:rRNA from 1 species